ACGGGGACCCGCACAAGCAGAGUAGCGCGUUGGUUUAAUUCGACGGUAAUCGAAGAACUUUACCAGGGUUUGAAAUGUAUCUGCAUGCCUUUAUGAAAGUUAGGGAGGCCUUCGAGGGUGAUACACAGGUGCUGCAUGGCCGCCGUCAGCUCGUGUCGUGAGAUGUAGGGUUAAGUCCCGAAACGAGCGCAACCCCUAUUCUAUGUUACAAGUGUCUUAGAAAACCGCCUCGGUAAAACGAGGAGGAAGGUGGGAUGACGUCUGGUCCGCAUAGCCCUUAUGUCCUGGGCUACACACACGCUACAAUGGCCGAUACAGUAGGAUGCCAAAUCGUAAGAUGGAGCUAACCCUCAAAAUCGGUCUCAGUUCGGAUUGAGGUCUGAAAUUCGACCUCAUGAAGUUGGAUUUGCUAGUAAUCGUAGAUCAGCAAUGCUACGGUGAAUACGUUCUCGGGUCUU
rnacentral:rRNA from 1 species